UAGGGUGGAUCCGUACCCUGCACGUGGCUUUCCCGUUCCCGGGGGAGGGCGCCUCCCUGGAUCCCGCGUCCGUCUCCGCGACCGCUGUGGGGGCUCCGCUGGCGUCAAGUGGACGGACAGAGACAGACAGACAGACAGAUAGACAGACGGAUAGGCAGCAGACAGAUGGACUGGGGCGCCCCAUCCAGAAGGUAUGUAACCUUGAGGUGUGGAAGUGCG
rnacentral:lncRNA from 1 species